rnacentral:misc_RNA from 1 species
CUGUAAAUGUCCCGUGCCAUCCUAUAAUUAGACCAUAGUUCAAAUAUGGUGAUCCUGUAAUUAAAUCAUAGUACUAAUAAGCAGAGGAAACUGAACAGUAAGUGAAGAAGAAAAGCACAUGUUAGAAACCACUAAACUGCGCAGAUUAUCAAGAAAGAAAAUCAAUCCCUUGGAAAAUUAUCCAGAUGGUUCUGUAAAUGUCCUGGGCCAUCCUAUAAUUAGAUCAUAGUACAAAUAAGCUGAUCUUAUAAUUAAAUCAUAGUAGCUGAUUGCAAAUUACAUCAGUAAACUUACC